UUUUUUUGAGAUAUUUGACCAGUUACCUUCUUUCUAUAAACUGUACAAAUUGGUUAGUUGUUUGAACUUGGUGUCUUCAUCGAAUCCAGUUGAAUUUUUUACCAUAGACAUCUUUCGUCAUAAUGAUCAUAUCAGAUGGUCGAAUUUUGGUUUGUAAAUUUUAGUUAUCCGAAUCACGUGUCUACUAUUUACCGUUAUUAUUCCCUAUGGGGAGCCCUAUCGUCGAAAGGUAAAUGUCUCAAAAUUUUUAUAUGGGCAGUUGCGUCUCAUCUACGUGAGAGUUUUUUGUGUGGAAGGUUUGACCAAACCACGUAAUAUAGAGGGAGAUAUGAGUGUUUUCGUGUGAUAAGUGACGAUAGAUUAGGGUUGACCGUUUCGAUCGAGCCCUUAACGUUGUCGGAUCCAGUUGAAUUUUUUACCAUAGACAUCUUUCGUCAUAAUGAUCAUAUCUGAUGGUCGAAUUUUGGUUUGUGAAUUUUAGUCAUCGGAAUCACAACGUGUCUACUAAUGUUGUAUAACUUGUUUAGUAGGUUAUACAACUUUGUGAACCAACUCUACAUAGGAAGCAAAAUUAUCAAAAAUCUCGUGAAAAAAGAUGUGUUCAGAAUGGUGAAAUACAGCUAUGGUUCAAAAAUCACGUAAAUCGGGUAACGUCUCGGUGCCGAUAGUAGCGGUCAACCCUAUUUACCGUUAUUAUUCCCUAUGGGGAGCCCUAUCGUCAGAAGGUAAAUGUCUCAAAAUUUUUAUAUAGGCGGUUGCAUCUCAUCUACGUGAAAGUUUUUCGUGUGGAAGGUUUAACCAAACUACGUAAUAUAGAGGGAGAUAUGAGCGUUUUCGUGAAUUUAUAGACUUUAGCCGACGAGAUAUUAAAAAAGUCGUCGGCUAAGGUCAAAAAUUUUUGUGCGGUAAACCAAAUUUGGAGGAAAAUUUUCAUAGAACUUUAGCCGACGAAAAUAUAUGAAAAGUCGUCGGUUAAAGUCGAAAAAUUUUCAAAAUUUUCAACCAAAAUUUUUUGGCGGUCAACCAAAAUUUUCAAAAUUUUGAAAAGAGUUUAGCCGACGAAAAUAAAGAAUUUUGUCGGCUAAAGUUUUUUAUAUAGGAGUUUUACCGAAGGUGGAUGGUUAGAAGUCUAUUUCGCCUGCCAGAUUUUCUUCUCGGCCUAGCUCCGCCGUCAAGCCACCGGAGACCGCCACACUUGUCCCAAAAGCUUCGCCGUCGUCUCUACUUCAUUGCUGGACAGGUGGUGCAUCGAGUGGCGCCGCCGUGAGGGAUAAAUCGAGCUCCAAAACUCCGCCGGUUCGGAUUCGGUGUCGAUCGAAUUUCUCCUUCCUCAGGUGACCAUUUGGUGAGUUCUAUAUAUGGAUAAGUUGAGUUUGAUUAGUACUACAUUCCCCUAGAAUUUGGUAGCUCGAUUCGGUGUGUGUGAGGAGAAUCGAAGAUUUGAAGUUUUUAGGGUUUAAAAUUUGGGAUUUUUAUAUUUUGAUUAAAUUGACAUGUUUAGGCUUAGAAUUGGGCUUCGACUUCUUCUAGAAAGUUGUUCAAAAUGUUGAGAGGAAGAUUCUGUCAAAUUUUGGUGGUGAUUGGAGGUGGCCGAAAGUUUUUGCAGUUUUUUUUUUUCAAAAACCAGCAACUUUAGUCAACGAUAUUUAAAUACUUUAGCCGAAGAUAUUCGUCGGCUAUAGUAUUUUUUAAUUUCUUUUAUAAGGUUUAGCCGACGAAUUAUGGCAUGUUUCAUCGGCUAUAGUUAUUUUUUAAAUUUUUUUAUAAGGUUUAGCCGACGAAAUAGACUAUAUUUCGUCAGCUAUAGUUAUUUUUUAAAUUUUUUUAUAAGGUUUAGCCGACGAAUAUCUUAAUUAUUUCGUCGGCUAAAGUCUGGGAAAAAAACCGAUGACAUGUUUUUCGUCGACUAAACUGUGGAACUAUAGCCGAUGAAAUUUUUUUUUUCGUCGGCUAAAGUCAUCACCGACGACAUUUUCCCGACGAGAUCUUAGCCGACGAGUCAACGAAAUCUUAGCCGACGAUGACUCGUCGGCUAAGAUCUUAGCCGACGAAUUAAGCUAACAUGUUGACGAAAUUUUUUCGUCGGCUAAAUUGCUUGUCCUGGUAGUGAGAGAUAAUUUCUUUUUGUGGGCUGUAUGUGUGGGUUAUUUUGAUAAUUGUUUGACUUUCAUUUAAAAAAUUGGUAUUAAAUAGUUAUCUAGGAUACCUCAAGGUACCCUUAACUACUUAUUUUACAAGGCAUUUUGAGUGCACAAAUAGUCAUUGUGCCCUACUCUCCUGCAAUAACUAGAUAUGGACUUAUAGUAAUGCAACCCUCGCCGAUGAAAUCCGCCGACUAGCACGGCAAGAUCAAAACUAAAUUAAACUCGACUCCCAACUCGAUGUUCCUCUUCUAGGCAGCCACCUAGCUAUAAAACACACAACUCACACGAAGUCAGCAAGGCCGGUCCGACGACGGCAAAACACCGUGGCCAAACAGGGUAGAGAAUCACAGCUAUUCCUCAGGCAUGCAAGAGCAAUCUAGGCAUUCUUUUAGUAUUCAAAAGAGAUUUUAGUAAUGCAUUGAAUUUCUUUGCAACGUAUCUAUGCUAUCCUUGUCCCCAAGUUUCACAAAACUCAAAUACAAACAUGCAAGGAUACAGAUUUACUCAGGCGCGGAGCCAGGUAAGAACUUGGUAGGGCUCAAGCCCAACCAAGAUUGUUUGAAUAAGAUUUUUAACGUAUGCAGAAUAGGCAUAACAGAAACAUUUGUAGGCUUGGUUUAACACAAUUACAACAAAGUCAGUUACCUGAGUUCGACUCCCAGGCUCAUCAUUCUUUGUUUUUUCCUUUUUCUUACUUCUUACUCCUACACAAUGGGCCUUAUAGGUAUUUUUUUUACUUUUUCUUACUUCUUACUCCUACACAAUGGGCCUUAUAGGCUAUGAGUCAUAGCAUUGUUUGGUAAGAUGUUUGGUAUUUUGGUAUUAGUUUUGAUUUAAUUCUU
rnacentral:lncRNA from 1 species